GAUGAACGCUAGCGAUAGGCUUAACACAUGCAAGUCGAGGGGCAGCACAAGGUAGCUUGCUAUCUGGGUGGCGACCGGCGCACGGGUGCGUAACGCGUAUGCAACUUGCCCUAUACAGGAGGAUAACCCGUCGAAAGACGGACUAAUACUGCGUAUGCUCACAACUUGGCAUCAAGUGGUGAGGAAAGAAAUUCGGUAUAGGAUAGGCAUGCGUCCCAUUAGCUUGUUGGUGAGGUAACGGCUCACCAAGGCAACGAUGGGUAGGGGAACUGAGAGGUUUAUCCCCCAAACUGGUACUGAGACACGGACCAGACUCCUACGGGAGGAAGCAGUGAGGAAUAUUGGUCAAUGGGCGCGAGCCUGAACCAGCCAAGUCGCGUGAAGGAUGACUGUCUUAUGGAUUGUAAACUUCUUUUAUACGGGAAUAACAAGAGUCACGUGUGACUCCCUGCAUGUACCGGAUGAAUAAGCAUCGGCUAACUCCGUG
rnacentral:rRNA from 1 species